AGCAGCUGUAGUUAUGGCGUGUCGGAAAUUAAACAUUCAAAGAUUCGUUUGGCGAUAUGAAAAGCAGAGCGAUAUCGUCCAGGCUAUAAAUCAAGAACGGAGCUUUAAAAACGUCAAGACCGCCGGCAAUUCGGUCAAGUUCGGUAAAACUUUUUUUUUUUACGAUCAAUGAACACCUGUUGUGCAGUAGACAAUCAUCACGGAAGGCCGAAUUUCUUCGGAAACAUAAACAGCGCAAUGAUUAAAGGCGCGUUUUCCCUGUAUACCUACCGUUAAUAUACGCGUACACUUGGAAAACCACGGGGACGGACAAAGAAAUGCAAAUAUACGAAUACUUUCAACCUUCUUUAUCAUUUCCAGCGCAAAUAGGUAAACACAGCCAACAGCUGGCCGAAUUUAUUUAAUUUACACAAAUUAACAUAAAACGUAACUGUAUAUUAAACUACGCACUUCUCGUUCGUUUCUCGUGUUUAUUUAAUCUGCUUAAAAUAUUAUGGCGUCUUUUUAUUGUUAUUACUGUUAUUGUUUAUAUUGUUCAAUAUUAUAUUGUGUAUAUCUUAUUAAAACGCGUCUCGAUGUUAUAAUAACACGCGACGUAUUCAAUGCGGUCCGUAUUAUAAUAACGCGACUAUAGCAAUAAUAUUAAUACGAGUAGUCGCUUUUCAUUUAUUAUUAUCAAAAAUAAUACCCACUUUAAAGAAACGUAUUAAAAUACAUAUAUAAUAUGUCAAGUAUUAGAUGGGGGUAGGUACGCGUUUAUUUCCUUUUUUUAUCACGCUGAAAAGUGUACUUAUUUAAAUAUUCAUCUCACUAUUUUUACGCUAUUUUCAAGUGCCAAUAAAUUCGAAUUUCAAUAGGCUAUUCUCUUUUGAUGUGUUUUCAAUAGAGACCGACCGUUACGUAUACCUUAUUUUGUGUAUUUAUAUAUUAUUUUAUUCUGUACACCCUUGUCAAUCCAAAAGUUCAAUUUAGAAUCUUUAUUGCGCGUAUCAUUUGUUGUUCGCAUAAUAUAUACAUUAGCUCGCCUCGAUUUUCACAUUUACAAUUUCAUUUGCGUUCAAUAUUUCAACAGCACCGAAGACGACAUUUUAUAUAAUAUAAUAUAACAACCAUCACAUACUUAUAACGUAAUGGUAAGACGAGUAUAAUAUUAUUGUGUUAUUUGCGACGAUUAAAUUAAAAAAUAAAACACGUCAAACUCGAAUCAUAUUACCGGCCGUAUAUUAUAAUAUAAUUGAUUUGUUAGGUAUCGAUCAACGGUGUAUACAACAUAAAUCAUGUCUUUUUCGAGGCCUGCAAGUCGCAUGACUAAUUACAAAGGCUAAUGGUGAUAAAUAAAAUAAUAUGAAAAAGGAUGUAGCCGACAAGAGAAAUCGCAUUGAAAUAUGAAUGUUGUGACAGCGUCGAGAUAUAAAUUAUUAAACAAUAUAUAACAUAAUAUAAUCACAUAAUAUAAAUGGCCGCGCGCAAUAGUAACUGCAAAACCUCAUAAAAACAUAUUAUUAUACACACACACACACACACACACACACACACACACACCGUAUAGACUUUUGCACAAUGCGCGUUGUGACUCUUAUUAUAAGUCACCGCGAUGAGGAUAGUACUAAUAAUAAAAAAAAAAACAAUAACAAUAGUAAUUACGCACGCAUACAAUAAUAUACCUAAUAACAAUGAUAAUAACGACUGUAACACUGCGCAGCUGCUAUCCUAUGACAUCCUAACCCGUUUUGAUCAUAUUUAGUAUAUUACAUUUUGCGUGUUAACAUUCGUAGGUACAUAUUAUAAUAACAUAAUAUUAAUGUGGUAGUCGAUUUGUCAAUUAUUAUUAAACCCGCGAUGCGUGUCAAUCUUUAUUAUUGCAUCGUCUGCCUCGCUACAACGACCACUCGGUGGGUAUAUCGAUGGCUUAAUUCAAACAAUAUAUAUUGUGUGCGCCCGAUAUAUUACGUCCGUUGUCAUUAAAAGUGAAAAGGUUAAUGUCAAUUUUAAUACGACGUUAUGUGCCUACACUGCCGCAGCACACAGCGCAGGUAAGUACUUAGAUAUAUUACACACAAUGUACCUAUGUCAUUAUAUUUAUGCGUGUAUCAACAUUCAACACGUCAUCAAAGGCGGUUGACAGCGCAACGUCCAGUUUUGUGAUACACAUUUUAAUUAAAAUUAUUAUUCGAUACAAAUUACAUAGGUAAUAUUAUAGUUUCUGUAUAGUAAGAGGUUACUCGAUUUUUUCACGGUCAGGUUUUUGUUGCAUUUACGUUGAUAUUCAAAAGUAACUCAUAGUUUUGUACACAAAAAAAAAAACUAAACAUUAUUUAACGUAUUCAAAAUUUCCGCGAUUGUAAUUAAUGGUUGCGUAAUAAUGAAGAAUGUUAAUGGGCUUUUUUAAAACUUAAAUGUACAGUUAACUAACAAUAUGAAAAUUCCGAGAAAAACCCAAGGAAUUCGCUCUGCGGUUUGCUGUAUAGUAGGUUUCAAGUGUACCUCAUCAUUGUGUAGGACACUGUGUGUAAUGGAUGUGUUAAAUUUUAUUGCAAUAUUGCACACGAAAAACGUAGUAAUUUAUUUUUAUUUUAGCAAUAUUAUGGUAUGUCGAACAAUUUUUUUUUGUCAAAAACAGUGCAUAAUAUACUAUAAUAUUACUGUCAUAUUUAUUUAGUAAUUAUUGCUAUUAACUCGGAAGCUAAUACCUCGUCCUAAAACGUGAUAACGAUUAACAGGGUAUCAAUUGAUUUAUUAUAUUGGAAAAUAUUUUAAAAUUAAGUGAAUAUUUUGAAAAUAAUUUAACUAUGUAUAGAAAGUAAUAAUAAACGUAUUGGAGAAAAGUUUCAAGUCCUUCUACGAAUAAUAUUUUUUGUAGAACUAAAAAGUAACUAAAAAUCUAUACAUAAAUGAAUGAUUGUUAUGUUUAAAGUUCAAAUUUCGUCAAAUCUUAAACUUCAAAAUCUAUAAAAUAAAUAUGAAUAAUAGUAAAAAUAUUUUGAAAUUUCUUCAAGUAGGUAUACAUCAUGAGGAAGCUCAUUUAAGCUUUACGAAGAACAAUUUUUUAUCAGAACUAAUAGAAAAAUCUAAAUUCAUUUAAAAACUUUAAAUAUUAAUUUAAGCUUAAAAUUAGUUUCAAGUCUUCAUGAUUAAUAUUCUUAUAAAUUAGAACAAAACCGAUUUUGUAGAAGUAUUGCGUAAAUAUUCCCGUUUUCCGGAUUUUUUUCGCAGUGUCAACCAGAUCUAAUUAGCUCCAAUAAACCAAACUCAAAGUUGAUGAUUGAAGCAUUUUACUGCUUCAAAAUGUGAUGACUGACACAAACAAUUAAAGCCCAUUGUAAAAGUGUAAAACCAAUAGGUAUACCUAUUCAUCACUUCACUCGGAAUAUAAAAAUAACACAAUGAAUUGUAUAAUUGUGUGUAGCUUAAUAGACGUAUUAUUAUAUGACGUAUUAUAUGAACUCGAAAUCGUUGUUUAUUUAUUCUGAGAUGUAAUAAUAAUUUUGCCUUAGGUUUAAUACAAUUUACUUUGAAUUUACACACUAAAGAAACUCGAUAGAAAACUAUGUGAAUAAUUUAAUAAUCUGCACACGAAUAAGUUUUCUCUCGAGUUGUACAAUGCGUUGGGCGUUACAAUACUAAUAACUGCUGUAAGUUUCAAUGGCUAUAGAACAUUAGCUAGUUUUUAGACGAUCAAAAUAUAUUUCAGACAAACAAAAACAGUGUAUAUUAUUACGGUCGUAUCAAAUCGCGUAUAAUAUCGUUUAUUAUUUGAUAAAUCAUUAUUAUAUAAAUAACGAGCGGACGGUGAAGACUGAUUUUUUUUUUUUUAAUCGGUCGAAGAUCGUCUAGAUCCGUACCUAACUACAAUAUUAUUACAUGCGCUUUAGUUGAUCAUUACGACGGUGCAAACACGCGAAGAAGACAUAUAGAAACAAUAAUAAUCGUUCACAUAUCAUAACGACACGCCCGUUAGUACUGAUUAAUACUUAGCCGCAGAGAAUUGAACUAAUAGUAAUUUUUCGACGUUAAAUAAUAUUACAAAACAGAAAAUUUGGUUAAGUUGACGGUCUUACCAACGAAACACCGAGAAAUAAUAAAUGUGCAUAGAAAUUGCUUGGUAAUAAAUCGUUCACAAUAUCACAUUUCCCAGUACGUGCGUUGAUCACAGUCCUACAGUAUAUUAUCGAUACGUAUUAUAAUACUAUAUAAGCCAGCUGAUAUCGGCGUAUCAGCCGCAGAAAAUCGAAUCAAUAACAUUUUUUCGACAUAAAAUCACACAAAAAAAAAGACACACAGAAUUGGGUCAGGUCGACGAUAUAUUUGUACGAACCGUCGAGAAAUAGUACAAGCCACGUUCGGUUCGAAAGAGAUAUUAUACAUAGUGCGUGGUGUACCGCUGCGGAUACGUGCGAGGUGAACUACAACAGGUCUGUGAGAAAAAUACGAAGACGAAGAAGAAGAAGAAGUCGGCAGAGGGCAAAGGGAUCCGUCUCAAUUAGACGGGGGGGGCACCUGGAAAAGACAACGAAUUAUGAAAAAUUGGCGGCGCGUUCUGUGGGGAUGUAUUAGCUGCGCUCGCGUGUUUAUCGUCGUACUUUCGGAAACUACUUAACGUCGUCGUUCAUCAGCCGUUAUACAAGACGACGUGCGGUCGAAUCGAAAAUCAUUAGGACGGGCGGUCGCGGCGGGAUUUUAUGGUACUUAGUUAAGUACCAGCCAGUUUUCUUGGAGAUUGAUAAAACUGACCGAGGAGUUAACUCAAACGCCUCGGGGUUUUCCGAUAGGGAAAUAUAACAGAGUACCCGCCGCGGCGGCGGCGUCGGAAUAACAUACCUAUAUACGCGUAGUACGCAUAUAUCGCAUGACGUGUGUAAGUAUACAUAUAUACUUAUAUAAAGUCGAUGAAUUUGCGCGCAACUCGUGCGUGGCUUAGAUUUCAACACUCGAAUAAACUUACUGUAGUUCAUCUAAAGUUGGGCGAGCUGACAUGUGCAGAAUACCUUAGAAUAUACCGCAAAAUAUUUCGCGCUCGUGUGGGUGUGUGUGGGUGUACGUACGGGACGCGAGCAGUAUGUUCGCUGAUUAGAUCCACACGAUUAAUUCGCAAAAAAAAAAAAAAAACUUUAAUAACCAGGCAUUCAUUAUUUUUAUUUUUAACU